GUUGUUCGCCGAAACCCUUGUACUCCAAGGAUGAGCUUGUUCAGUCUUCUAAGGCUGCUGCUUCUAAUCACUUCUAACCUUUUUCCAUAGAACAACAAAUAUCAAUAAUAUUAAUUAGGAAAAUCAAAAGUCAAUCGCUACCGUCACUCUCUUUUUCUCCUCUGCGAUGGGGAAAUCAUUUCAAUCUUUUUCUCCUCUUCGGAUUGUGUCAUCUGCAAAAUCGCAACGCCCAAAGCUGACGCAACCGCCCAAACCAUCCCCGUCUCAAUCUCCCACUAAGGAGCACCAACGGACGCCCCUCGCCGCGGUGGUUGCCGACUGUGCAAGGCGGUGGUUCCACGAGACACUCCAGGAGGCCAAGGCUGGCGACGCCGCCAUGCAGGUUCUCGUUGGACAGAUGUAUUACAGUGGCUAUGGCGUUCCUAGAAAUCCGAAGAAGGGGUAUGAUUGGAUUAGUAGAGUGUCCAGAAUUCGGAGCUCAGUUUGGAAAGUAAACAAAAAACGUCCAGGUUACAGAGCAAGUGAUUCAGAUUCAUGUGAACCGGAGGUCAAAACGAAAUCUUGUCGUUAAUUUGUAAUACAAGGCACCAAUAAUUGCUACAAGAUGGUCACAAUGACAUCACCAGAAGUCCAAAACAAAGGAAUAAAUAAGAAGUGAUAUGAUGUCAACAACAUGAGACAUUUUGGUAUUCUGAUAUACAGUGUAUACACAGCUUAUUUUUAUAUAUUUUAUUGCAUGUCCCAUUUCUUAAAUAACUCUUGCCUCAAUUUCUUUCAAAUUGUAAGUAUCUAUGUUAAUUCUCACAAUUGUAAUUGUAGUCCUAAACCCUAAACCUUAUUUUUAUAUCUUUUUCCUAGACACAAUUGUAUCCUUAACACCCCCUCCCCCCUUUUUUUUUUCUUUUUUUUUUCCCCUUUUUGUAUCUGGUGGUACUGAACUGCACUCAAUAAACAUUUUUGCUUUCA